GUCAAGGUGUUUCUUCACAGCAACAGAAACCCUAAGACACAUCCAUCCACGCAUUUUUUGUUUUAAAGAUAGCAUCUCGCCAUUUAGCCCUAGUGGCCUAGAAUAUCCUAUUAUCUUCAAUGACAACGACUUGGUUACAGUCCUUCUGCCUUGGCCUCCCGGGCCUUGGAUUACAGACUCCUGACAGGACCAUGGUAGAUGAGACUGCUUGCAUUUGGAUGGUCCAGGCCUUCCCAUUUCGUUGUUCUGAUGCUUCAAUCCUUUGUCAUCAAGACCUGUCUGCCAAUGCCUUGCAAAGCAAAUCUUUGCCAUGUCCCUGAUGACGGAGGACAAAGAGGAUUCGGUUGCUGGCCUCAGCUGUGGUUCUCCUUUGCUGGAAGUUCUGAAGUAUCAUGAAACAAAAAUGUUGAAUUAUAUAUUUUAAAUAUUUUGUAUUUGG
rnacentral:lncRNA from 1 species